rnacentral:rRNA from 1 species
GAACAGAUGCUAAUACCGGAUAACAACAGAUGAUGCCUAUCAACUGUUUAAAAGAUGGUUCUGCUAUCACUCUUGGAUGGACCUGCGGUGCAUUAGCUAGUUGGUAGGGUAACGGCCUACCAAGGCGAUGAUGCAUAGCCGAGUUGAGAGACUGAUCGGCCACAUUGGGACUGAGACACGGCCCAAACUCCUACGGGAGGCAGCAGC